rnacentral:rRNA from 1 species
UACGUAGGGACCAAGCGUUGUUCGGAUUUACUGGGCGUAAAGGGCGCGUAGGCGGUGCGGUAAGUCACUUGUGAAAUCUCUGAGCUUAACUCAGAACGGCCAAGUGAUACUGCAGUGCUAGAGUGCGGAAGGGGCAAUCGGAAUUCUUGGUGUAGCGGUGAAAUGCGUAGAUAUCAAGAGGAACACCUGAGGUGAAGACGGGUUGCUGGGCUGACACGUGACGCUGGAGGCGCGAAAGCUAGGGGAGCAAACGGG